AAUAGCCUAACGGCUGAACCAGCAACUUGGAGGAAGGUUGUACUUUAGUACUUGUGGUUUAUCCACAUAAACUUCUAGAUAGAAUACAGAUAAAUGACUAUUUUCUAUCUAUAUGUCUUGACUAACACACGUGCCAGCAGUCGCGGUAAGACGGGAAAGACUGGUGUUAGUCAUCUUUAUUAGGUUUAAAGGGUACCUAGACGGUGUUUAUUACUCCUUCAUGGAAGUACAUUAAUAACUAGAGUUUUACGAGAGAGGCUAUAUUUAGAAUUAACAGAGGAGAGAUAAAAUUCUUUGAUACUGUUAGGUACUUAUAACGGCGAAAGCAUUCCUCUAUAUCAAAACUGACGUUGAGGGACGAAGGCUUGGGUAGCGAACAGGAUUAGAUACCCUAAUAGUCCAAGCAGAAAAUUAUGAGUGUAAUAGGUUAGUUAAAAUUUACUCGCUUUAGUCCAUAAAAGUGAAGUCUGAUCUAUAAAUAAAAGUGUAAGCACUCCACCUCAAGAGUAACGCGGCAACGCUGGAACUGAAAUCAUUAGACCGUGUCUGAAACCAGUAGUGAAGUAUGUUAUUUAAUUCGAUGAUCCUCGAAAAACCUUACCACAAUUUGAAUAAUAUUUAGUUAUUACAAGUGUUGCACGGCUGUCUUCAGUUAAUGUCGUGAGAUUAAGGUUAGCUCCAUAAAUUAACGUAAACCCUUGCUUUAUUUUAUAUAUACAGCAGUUCUCUAUUAUAUUAGAUAAUAUAAAAGGGACCAAGACAAGUCAUCAUGACCUUAAUAUUGUGGGCUAUAGACGUGCCACAUAUACCUAGACAAUGGGAUGCCAAUAUGUAAAUAUUUAGCUAACCCCUAAAAUAGGCUAUAUUGA
rnacentral:rRNA from 1 species